rnacentral:rRNA from 1 species
AGUGAACGCUGGCGGUAGGCCUAACACAUGCAAGUCGAACGGCAGCACAGUAAGAGCUUGCUCUUACGGGUGGCGAGUGGCGGACGGGUGAGGAAUACAUCGGAAUCUACUUUUUCGUGGGGGAUAACGUAGGGAAACUACGCUAAUACCGCAUACGACCUACGGGUGAAAGCAGGGGAUCUUCGGACCUUGCGCGAUUGAAUGAGCCGAUGUCGGAUUAGCUAGUUGGCGGGGUAAAGGCCCACCAAGGCGACGAUCCGUAGCUGGUCUGAGAGGAUGAUCAGCCACACUGGAACUGAGACACGGUCCAGACUCCUACGGGAGGCAGCAGUGGGGAAUAUUGGACAAAGGGCGCAAGCCUGAUCCAGCCAUACCGCGUGGGUGAAGAAGGCCUUCGGGUUGUAAAGCCCUUUUGUUGGGAAAGAAAAGCAGCAGGUUAAUACCCCGCUGUUCUGACGGUACCCAAAGAAUAAGCACCGGCUAACUUCGUG